AUGAUUAUGAAUGUUCCGAGUGGACUCCUUGCCGCCCACCUGGCUUAAGGACUGUAAGGCACUUCGGAAAUCAAAUUUCAGGAAAGAAGAUUGGUUUGAGAAACAAUGAACGAGGAGAAAUCUUCUCUUUGCAGAGCUGCUGUGUGUCAAAGUUUAUCCUCAUUAUAUUAUGUUUCCUCUUUUGAAGGCCCACUGAGAUGAGUUUCUGCUAAUUCUCUUACAUAAAGUAGGAUGUGGAGGUCUCCGAUUCCUGCUCAGAGCUGGGAAUGGCCGCGUUCUGCAGGCUGGUGCCUCGCUGGAGCUCCAGAAAGAGCAUGUCUCCAAUGUCGAGCGCAGCUGGAUGGCUCCUCUGAUGAUUGGGACUCUCUCCUGUUUGCAGUCGCCCUGAAGCUUGGGUUAGAGCAGCCAAGGAGGCUUCAGCACAUGUCCAGGCCUUGUCACAGGUGCCUGGGAAACUGGCUCAUCUGGAGUGUUGGGAUACCUGGGCCUCUGCCUUCCUUCCAUGUAGACCCAGGGCCUCAGUGUUGCCCUGGAGACUCUCCAGAAGGGCAGCUGGACAUCGGAGGUGGCGGUUCAACGCUCCCAAAAGGGCCAACGUAGAAGCUGUUGGUGCCGUGUCCCAUUUCCACCACAUUCUUUUGGUUAAAGUGGGUCACGGGGCCAAAGAGAGUCAAUGUGGGGUGAUGUGGACAGGAGUAUGAAUGUGGGAGGUCUGGGUCCCCGGGGCCUCUUUGGAGAAGAGCUACCGUCCACGGUGCUAGUGCUCGCUGAGAAUUGAGAAACAAACAAAUAAAAUAAAAUAAAAUAAAAAACUAGAGGAGGAG
rnacentral:lncRNA from 12 species